rnacentral:piRNA from 1 species
UAUUGAUAGAAUUGCUGGCUUUUCUGAC